UCGCCUGUUUAUCAAAAACAUUUCCUAAAGAAAGAAAUUUUAGGUAGGUCCUGCUCAAUGAAAUUGAUUAAAUAGCCGCAAGUAGUUGCGCUAAGGUAGCAUAAUAACUUGCUCUUUAAUUGAGAGAUAGAAUGAAAGGUUUAACGAGGAGAAAACUUUUUUAAAAUAAAAACAAUUGAAAUUAACCUUUGAGUCAAAAGGCUUAAAUGAAUUUGAUGGACGAGAAGACCCUAUAGAACUUUAUUAAAUUUAAAUUUACGAUGAUUUUUAAAAACAACUAGUAAAAAGAAAUUAUAAUUUAACUGGGACAGUUAAACUAAACAUUAAAUUAGUUUUUAAAAAAACACUUUUAAGUGAAUAAUUUGAACCAAUUUUGAAUAUUAGAAUAAGUUACCUUAGGGAUAACAGCGUUAUCCUUUCAAAGAGUACAAAUCGAUGAAAGACAUUGCGACCUCGAUGUUGGAUUAAGGUUAAAAAAAGGAGUAGAAGCUUUAACAAGUCAUUUGUUCAACGAUUAAAGUCCUACGUGAUCUGAGCUCAAACCGGA
rnacentral:rRNA from 1 species